UACGGGGGGGGCAAGCGUUGUUCGGAAUUACUGGGCGUAAAGGGCGCGUAGGCGGCGCGAGCAGUCGAUCGUGAAAGUCCGGAGCUCAACUCCGGAUCGGCGGUCGAUACUCUCGUGCUUGAGCACUGUAGAGGCAGAUGGAAUUCCGGGUGUAGCGGUGGAAUGCGUAGAGAUCCGGAAGAACACCGGUGGCGAAGGCGGUCUGCUGGGCAGUUGCUGACGCUGAUGCGCGACAGCGUGGGGAGCAAACAGG
rnacentral:rRNA from 1 species